rnacentral:rRNA from 1 species
GAUGAACGCUGGCGGCGUGCCUAAUACAUGCAAGUCGAGCGAACGGACGAGAAGCUUGCUUCUCUGAUGUUAGCGGCGGACGGGUGAGUAACACGUGGAUAACCUACCUAUAUGACUGGGAUAACUUCGGGAAACCGGAGCUAAUACCGGCUAAUAUUUUGUACCGCAUGGUUCAAAAGUAAAAGACGGUCUUGCUGUCACUUAUAGAUGGAUCCGCGCUGCAUUAGCUAGUUGGUAAGGUAACGGCUUACCAAGGCUACGAUGCAUAGCUGACCUGAGAGGGUGAUCAGCCACACUGGAACUGAGACACGGUCCAGACUCCUACGGGAGGCAGCAGUAGGGAAUCUUCCGCAAUGGGCGAAAGCCUGACGGAGCAACACCGCGUGGGUGAUGAAGGUCUUCGGGUCGUAAAGCUCUGUUAUUAGGGAAGAACAUAUGUGUAAGUAACUGUGCACAUCUUGACGGUACCUAAUCAGAAAGCCACGGCUAACUACGUG